ACUCCUAAAUUUUACAAGAGAAAAGAAAAAGUCAUCAUAGUUUAACAGCUACUGAAUUAAUGAUCGUUUGUGUUGUUUUGUCUGGGUUUUUUUUUCUUACCUGAAUGACAAGCAGGCUCAAUAAGGCCAUCACAUCCACUUGCUUUUGUGCUCUAGAAAUUUUCUCAACACCAUAAAAUGCCCACAUGUGACAUGAAUAGGAAUUCAUCAGCUAAAACACUACUAAUAAAAAAAUAACCUUGCUUCAAAGAGAAGUAGCUUGGAGGUUGGAGGUUCUUGCUUCUGCAGUUGUCAAUUCCAUUCUCAAAUAUACUAGUGUAAAAUGUGCUAAAUAUUGUUUCACUCCCUAAAUGCUGACUUGAUAAAGACAACAUGAAAGAAGCUACUGUGAUUUUACUUUUCAAGUUGCUGAGGCCCCAGUUGGUAUGGGUUGUCCACUUUUCUGUAAUUCACUUGAGGAGGAAUUAUAUAAAGCUAAAGACUGUAAAAUACUUAAAGAAAAGGAAUGAACCCAAGUUAAUGAUAAAAUCAUUAAAGACCCAGCUGGGAAGAAUAGCCACUCUUUUCCAGUUCCUGGUAGAUACUUGAAAUGAAUAACUAGACCUUUGUCAUGCCAAUAGUAAUGAAGGAGAAAUGCAAGCUAUAUACCCCCUGAAAUGUGUGGGUUUUGGGGAUAUCCAUAUUUGGUAUGGUGGGGCUUUUUUCCUGUUUUACUUAUAGGAUAGCUGCUGAAUGGCCUGAGAGACAUCCAUGCUGGGAGACACUGUUAUACCUUUACCCCAAGAACUGUCUACCUCCCAAUAUGUUCUACAGGUGCUUUUUGCCAUGUUCUUCAGGGACUCCCUCUGAAAGCACAGAUUUUGUAUACCCAAAAUACCUUUUUUUGUGGAACUGAUGUCUAUUAUCCUGACUCGGGGGAAGCAGAUGAAUUCCGGCUUGUGAAAAAUUGAAGAAUAUCAGCAGACUUGUACCAUAUUCCAGCUCCAUUUACUCUAAAAAGUAAUUUUGUCUGCAGUUGAGGAGAGGGAGUGAUGGAGCAGCUUUGGAGGGCACCUGACCUCCAGCCACCGUCAACGCACCACAGGACGACUCUAGCACUACCCAUGCCAGACCCCACCUCUUGCCUGCUACAUCCAAGAUGUGCUGCUGAGCCCAGGCCAAGCUACUAUGAGUGCUGGCUCUUCCUUCCGCUGGAUGCAGGGCCAGACAAGAAGGCAUCUCCCUGGGAAACACAAUUUCCUUGCAGACCUGGAAGGCCUACUGCCCAGCCAUUAAACAAGUUCUUUUCAAACACCAUGACAGUCUCCCUGCUGCAGACUUCAAAAUCCUGAGCUGUGGCUGUUCACAUGUAUCUGUGUCCCUGGAGCAAAGGAGAAACACAUCUGAUGGGGACCACAAAACUUCUUUCCACAGCGGACAUCCACCAGAGACUCAGCUGCAGAACAGCCUCAGCGCUGGGGACAUGCUGGUGCUUUGCCCCUGCAACAUCUCUUUCCUCCAAAAGUAUAAAAAAAUCCUAAAGGCUAAGUAACUACCAGAAUACUUCAAAGCCUUUUGUCCUUUUCUCUCAUCAUUUUCACAGUGUUCCAUCCUAUGCGUGUGUUAUACUGAUAGGUUAUAAACAGAUACAACUUGAGCAUAUAUUAAGUAGGACAAAACAGGUUUAUUAAGGCCACUGAGUUUCAUCUGUAUGUAUGACAAACUGGAUAACAACAUUUUCUUUCAUAUAUUCAUAUAUUAAGUAUCAACUUUAAACAAAAAACUAAACAAAACCAAAAAAAACCCCACAUUUACAAGCAUGAUCGUUUUUUUUUCAUAGGUGUCUUUGCAUUAAUCUAGUUAAACUGGUGCUCUGACAGACCCUUCUGGCACUACUUCAGCUCUCUUGAAAAAUAAGAAUCAAGCACUUCUGAGUGAUUUUCAGGAAGUAAAACUAAGCCCAAAAUAGCUGUAGGAGUUGCCUGAGGUAAGGUGGAGAAACAAAGUCUUAUUAGGAGCUUACAACAACAUGAAGUAGCUGUUUUAGAGGGAAGUGAAAAUGGCACAGGCGCUCAAAAGGACUACCUCAAUUGAUGUUGUGUGCAGAAACUCCAAUUUCACCUGUUAUUCAAAAGUAAGCAUGACAUGAAAUACACACAGAGCAUUAGGCUGUUUGUUGAAUCAAGACCCUUCACUAUCAGAUUAAAACCCAUAUUUUUCCUUCCAAAUACUGCUUCUUUGAUCUCUAUUUGUAAACCAAACUCCUGGAAAUAAAGUCUCCCUCUAUUUAUGUCCUGGAGGCUGAGACCAUUUCAUGCAAUUUUUAUUUGACUGUUUCUGAAUGGGAGCAGACCAGAGUAUUGUGCAAAGACAUUUCUGCCUCCCAGAUCCCCGUCUCAUAUGACUGAAGCAAUCAGUUCAGCACAGCAUGAUGGAGAAAGGGCAGAUUGAACAGAUGAUUCAGGGGGUGAGAGGAGGACAAAUCUAUGUUUGAAUUGGGGUGCUCGAGUUAACUUUUAUGAAGCUUUCACAAAUAGUAAACUUUUUUCUUGUUUUCAAACUCGGCUUGUUUUCCUGAGCAUGAAUGAAUCACUGGCAAAUUUGUUUGCAGCUACUUUAAUAUUUAGCAAUAAAAAUUCAUUAUAUUAA